rnacentral:tRNA from 1 species
GGGGAGAUACCCGAGUGGCCAAAGGGGGCGGGCUGUAAACCCGCUGGCGUUGCCUUCGGAGGUUCGAAUCCUCCUCUCCCCACCA